UCGAGACCGAAACACAUCGAGCGAUUCAGAGAACUCAUGAAGCGAGUGGCGGCGGCUGCCACCGCAGGAUGACUGUCCUAGCCGUCACCUCAUCCCCUCCUAGGAGGGAUGUGGGGGGCACGACUGAGGACGGAUGAAACACAAACCGACGCAGCUCCACGCUAAGGGAAAAUCGAAAGGCACGGGCCCCACGUCGGGCUCGGUGGCAUGGAGCGCCAUCGCCCUCCAUACAAAUGGACACGACUCUCGGUAAUGGAUAUCUUAGCUCUCGUAUCGAUGAAGAGCACAACAAAAUGCGAUACGUGGUGCGAAUUGCAGAAUCCUGCGAACCAUCGAGUCUUUGAACGUAAUUUAUGCCCGAGGCCAGCUGGCCGAGGGCACGUCCACCUGGGCGUCAAGCAUCGCAUCGCUCCGUGCCAACUCAAUCCCCUCGAUGGGUGCGUGUCGGCCGAGGCACGGACGCGCAGGGUGGCCCGUUGUGCCCUUCGGCGUGGUGGGCUGAAGAGCCGGUUCUCAUCUCGCUAGCUGCGGGCAACGAGGGGUGGGUGAAAGCUGUGAGCACAGCCUGUGUUGUCUCGUGCGGAGCUUAAGAGAAUGACGGUGCCCCCGAGGCGAUCCCGACCCACGUGUCGAUCUGCAUGCGGUGGCUUAGAAU
rnacentral:rRNA from 1 species